UACGAAGGGGGCUAGCGUUGUUCGGAAUUACUGGGUGUAAAGGGCGCGUAGGCGGUGUGUCAAGUCAGGCGUGAAAGCCCCGGGCUCAACCUGGGAACCGCGCUUGAGACUGGCACGCUCGAGUUCGGGAGAGGAUGGUGGAAUUCCCAGUGUAGAGGUGAAAUUCGUAGAUAUUGGGAAGAACACCGAUGGCGAAGGCAGCCAUCUGGACCGACACUGACGCUGAGGCGCGAAAGCGUGGGGAGCAAACAGG
rnacentral:rRNA from 1 species